rnacentral:tRNA from 1 species
UUAAUAGAAGCCAAAAUUCCCCCCGCGGCUAUUCACUGUUAAUGAAUAAAUUGAGAUAUUCCUAUUAAA